UACCGUGGGUGGAAGCAAUGUUAAAUUGAAUUAAUAUUAAUUAUUUGAUUUACGUACGUGAAUGAUGAGUCAUAUAACCUGAACCUUAAAAAUAAGAUUUUUUAUUUAUAAGUAACAAUGAGUCCUAGUUUGACCAAGUCUUCAACUAAAACUCCUACACUUACUCUCAUUCUCACGACUUUCUCCACUCUCUUCUCACGUUAUUUAUCAGAAAAAAGAACAAAAAAAAUCAAAUAUUAUCACUUUCAAAACUUGCACAUAAAAAUUCAAAAGAAAAACUAAACACAAAAUGAAAAGUGAAAGCAUCUUUCAAAUGGUUUGCGCGUAAGUUUUGUUGGAGAAGCAUUUUAUUUUUCAUGGGAGUUGGCAGCACUUUAGAUCAGAUUUUAAAGGUUUUAUGUGACGAGAAAAGGUGCAGGUGGAUGCUAGAGCUUACAAGACUACGUUAAAGCUAUCUGGACAUGGAGCACUCAUCCGGACUUGGUACCGGUGCAUGUGGAUGCUAGAGCUAACGAGACUACAUCGAAGCUAUCCAUACAUGGAGCAUUCAUCCGGACAUGGUAGGCCCUCAUGCUUUGGAUGAUGAUUAUAUAUUAUAUUCUAGAUUAGAUGUAGCCCUGAGCUAGUGGAAAGUGUUCCACUAGCAUUUCUUUCUUACUUAUUUCAGACGUUGUGUUGGUGCCAUUUUGGCAACUUUAUA